rnacentral:rRNA from 1 species
ACGGAAGGCAGCAGUGGGGAAUAUUGGGCAAUGGGGGAAACCCUGACCCAGCAACGCCGCGUGAAGGAAGAAGGCCUUCGGGUUGUAAACUUCUUUUACCAGGGACGAUAAUGACGGUACCUGGAGAAAAAGCAACGGCUAACUACGUGCCAGCAGCCGCGGUAAUACGUAGGUUGCAAGCGUUGUCCGGAUUUACUGGGUGUAAAGGACGUGUAGGCGGAGCUGCAAGUCAGAUGUGAAAUCCCGGGGCUCAACCCCGGAACUGCAUUUGAAACUGUAGCCCUUGAGUAUCGGAGAGGCAAGCGGAAUUCCUAGUGUAGCGGUGAAAUGCGUAGAUAUUAGGAGGAACACCAGUGGCGAAGGCGGCUUGCUGGACGACAACUGACGCUGAGGCGCGAAAGCGUGGGGAGCAAACAGGAUUAGAUACCCUGGUA